CAAACAAAAAACAAAAAAUGAUCGCCUUAAAGAAUUGUGAGAAAGACUUAAAAUACAAACAAAUGAAACGUAGUUCAACGUCAAUUUACAAGGAUUCAAAACUGCCACGUCUUCUCAAUUUUGACUAUUCUUUCUCUGUUUCUGCACCUGUCUCUAUGUAUACUCUGCCUUGUAACAAACAAUUCUUAUUUGUAAAUAAAGUUAUAUGAAAAACUAUGUUUUUUGACAAAAAAAUUUUAAUUUUUUCUUAUAUUAUUGUUUAUAAUGUUUCAUCGUUUUUACCAACGAAUAUCAAAAGAGAAAGGAACUCGAUUACUCAUUGAAUGAAAGCGUUUCUUUCAAAUAUAGAUUCUCUUAUUUAAUUAUUGAGGAGAAAGUUUGCAAGGCAAGUUCCAGCUUUUUAUCGCUCGAGUUUUUUCUGAUUUCCUUCGAGCCGGCUUUGAUCUUCGCUCUGCAGCGAAUUGACCAUACAACCAUGUGGUUUUCAUUCUAGUUUACAAACGACAGAUUGAAUUUAGACAAAUUAAAUUCUCCCUCAGAAUGUCACAGCCCAUGUUUGUAUAGCUUUGUAGGGUGCCGGGCGGCAAGUAAGGAGGUUUUUUGAGUUUGGGUUUCAUCGCUAUAUAUCCUCGAGCAGAGUGUUCAUUCGACUUUCCCAAAAAGUUUUGAGAUAUAACAUGAAAACUUUCCAUGCUCUGGCAAAAUUGAUCCAUUCCCUAUUUUCUCGUGAAUCUUAAGAAUAUUCUUCUGUUUACAGAAAUGGACCGGCAGCCUGUGCUAUGGCGAUACAGUUGUAUUGUCAUACCCAUCGAGAAUAUCCCCAGUGGAUUCUUGUCGGCAACUGGAGACUGCAAAAUUUUAGAAAAUCCUUAUAUCCGGCAAAGGAUAAGGGCAGCGCUGAAAAAGACCGCAGCGAUAAGGAAACAACGAUGAUGUACCCAUCCAUAUACUUUGCAACAAUUCGUACGGAAAUAGGUCCUCGACUUGACGGUAAAUCCAACAAAGUUCAAUGAGACAAGCUGCGACUGUGAAAAACUUCGAUUCGUCUAUCGAUAUUUGCGGGAUUAAAAACAACCGGGGAAAAUCGAUUGCUGCUCGAGCACGAAAAAAAAUUACGUGAAUGCACCACUUCCAGCGAACCGGGAAUAUCGAAAUUUUCCAACGAAACGAACAAGCCUUAGAUUCUUGUCGGAAUGUCAUUGAAACUCGCGCGGUGCAAUUGCGAAAGCUUGCUCAACCUGCUGGAUCUUCGUUGCAUCCUGCCUCGGCGUUUCUCUUCUCUUUCCAUUUAUCACGUUCUCUACUGCAUACAAAAAAAAAAAACAAUAGAAAAAAAGUGCGACUACGAUUGAAACACCAACAACCACUCGCACUCAACAACGCAAACACUGAAUUACUCAAUGGAGAUGUUUCCCCAAAACAGACCCGAAUAGAGAGGACUGAAUCGUUCCAUCAUACGA